rnacentral:rRNA from 1 species
UCCAGGCCCUACGGGGUGCAGCAGGCGCGAAUACUCCGCAAUGCGGGAAACCGCGACGGGGCUACCCCGAGUGCCGGGCGAAGAGCCCGGCUUUUGCCCGGUGUAAGGAGCCGGGCGAAUAAGCGGGGGGUAAGUCUGGUGUCAGCCGCCGCGGUAAUACCAGCCCCGCGAGUGGUCAGGGUGAUUACUGGGCUUAAAGCGCCCGUAGCCGGCCCGGCAAGUCGCUCCUGAAAUCCCCGGGCUCAACCCGGGGGCGGGGGGCGAUACUGCCGGGCUAGGGGGCGGGAGAGGCCGCCGGUACUCCGGGGGUAGGGGCGAAAUCCGAUAAUCCCCGGAGGACCACCAGUGGCGAAAGCGGGCGGCCAGAACGCGCCCGACGGUGAGGGGCGAAAGCCGGGGGAGCAAAGGGGAUUAGAUACCCCUGUAGUCCCGGCCGUAAACGAUGCGGGCUAGCUGUCGGCUGGGCUUAGGGCCCGGCCGGCGGCGUAGGGAAACCGUUAAGCCCGCCGCCUGGGGAGUACGGCCGCAAGGCUGAAACUUAAAGGAAUUGGCGGGGGGGCACCACAAGGGGUGAAGCUUGCGGCUUAAUUGGAGUCAACGCCGGAAACCUUACCCGGGGCGACAGCAGGAUGAAGGCCAGGCUAACGACCUUGCCGGACGAGCUGAGAGGAGGUGCAUGGCCGUCGUCAGCUCGUGCCGUGAGGUGUCUGGUUAAGUCCAGCAACGAGCGAGACCCCCACCCCUAGUUGCUUCCCCGCUCUUCGGGGCGGGGGGCACACUAGGGGGACUGCCGGCGUAAGCCGGAGGAAGGAGGGGGCCACGGCAGGUCAGUAUGCCCCGAAACCCCGGGGCUGCACGCGAGCUGCAAUGGCGGGGACAGCGGGAUCCGACCCCGAAAGGGGGAGGCAAUCCCGUAAACCCCGCCCCAGUAGGGAUCGAGGGCUGCAACUCGCCCUCGUGAACGUGGAAUCCCUAGUAACCGCGUGUCACCAACGCGCGGUGAAUACGUCCCUGCCCCUUGCACACACCGCC